CCAAAACCUUGUUUCUCUCAAACACUCUAAACUCUAGCCGCUUACCUUUGCCUUCGAUCAAAAAUCCACCGGCGUCCAUGGCUUCUCAGGCCAUGGACAGCCUAUAUUCUCUCCCUUUCACUAAAGCCAUGAUUAUUCGAGCUUUCAAGGUUCAACCUCCAACAAACAUAUUCAGGCCCUCCACCGACCUGAGCUUUUUUGGCUUCUCCGACCCUAUUCCGGUGUGUUCUGAAAAACUUAGCCAUGGUCCAGAUUCGUUCAGAGACCAGACCAUUCCAAGCCUUCUCAUCUCUAGGGUUUCUGAGAAACCUAAAAAGAUUUAUUUGAGGUUUUUCUUUCCUUGUUUUCUUAGAUCUGUAGCAUAUCUGUGCCCCAUUCUGUGUUUUAACGAUUUCCCCUAAUUUUUCUUUUUAAAAUUAGUCUAUUCAAAUUAGGAGUUUCAAAAAAUCCUAAAAACUAUUCUUCGUCUUCUUUCUUUCUUUAUGUGAAUCUGUGUGUUCAUGCCAAGUUUGAGGUGUUUUCGUUUGUUUUUAUGAUUUGUCGUUAAUAUGCAUGUCUAUCUGCCUUUAUUCUAUUAAUGCUUGUACUGAUUUUUCUAUAAGCAUGUUAUGCGCCUGUUUUUCUUAUUCUUUUACUAUUCCUCCUACUGAAAGUAUUUACUUUUACUGAAUCUAUUUGGGUAGCAAACUUGCUUCUUUCACUGUUUCCUAAACUCUUAUGGCAUCUCUUUUCUGAACUGGUUUGAAUUUUAGUCUUCCUAAAACAUGUUCUUACAAGCUUUCACUCUUCUUAUUUUGAAUUCUUAAUGUGUCAAUAAUUCUUGCGAGCCUUAGUUCUAGGGUUCUACCUUAGAAACCUUAGGCUCUCAAACUCAUGCUGAGUUCGUAGACUGAAUUGGAAGUUGCUUUUCUUUUGCUUAUGAUUCAAAAAUUGUUUAUGCCGAUCUGUUCUUCCUUUCUUGAUG
rnacentral:lncRNA from 1 species